UUUAAUUUCCCAAUCUGUAAGAAUCUAAAAGAUGUACCUUUCCCACACCCACUAGUUAACUUGUAAGCAAACCAAAUAUAUAUCUAUAUAUCCUGUUUAAUUCACAUUAUAUGUUCACAUGGUUUUGAUAAUCCUUUUCAUAGUGGCAUCUUCUCUAAUCAUAUAUUUUGAUGACAAGCUCAUCCUGUCCUUAAGGUUAAAUAUAUACAAUGCAUAUUAUAGAAAUGCUAUGUGUCUGGUUUUUCCAUUGUAUAACACACUGUUUGUUUUCUGGCCUGUUCAGUUAAAGUUUUCCCCAGUGAUUAAUGAUCUUACAUUUGCUAUGUUUGGAAAAUAUCCUUUGGUUAAUUGUGGUCGGGGCAAGGAUGAUAUUUUGGGAAUAUGUGUCAGACCCUACUUCCCUGUUUUUAGUAUCACUUCCCCUUAUGUAGGUUGAACACAAAGCUGUCUUAAUUAAUCAUACGAUUAUUGGCUAGACGAAUUCGUCAAUGUUUUGAUCACAAGAUUGUGCCAGACAACCCAGGUGACUAAUGUUUCCUUUUUGCAUCCUAUAUAAUGUGAAGGAUGUCUAAUAAAAUUUUGUCUAUGAUUGAAACUGCAUCUCGGUGUCAGUGUCUUUCAUGGUCCUCUGAUAUCAGAUUUCUCUGCUGCUCACCUCAGAUCCUCACCUAACAACCUAGGUACCGAACUUAGAAGAAAAUCUCAUACUCCUAGACCUGCUUAGAAUUAGAUUCUAACAGUUGGGCGCUCGUCCGGCGAAAGAGGGGAACAUCCUCGAACCGGAGACCGAAUUUCGAACACCGCAGAUCGGGGAGGACUCUACAAAAAGGGGAAAACCAUACUCAUUCUUUUGCUCUCGGACAGAGUGUUCUAAUUAAGAGUCUGAAACCGACAAGGGUUGGAGAGCCAAACUACUACGGCCCAGCCAAGGUGAUUGCUAUCACCAGGACCGAGGUUCUGACUGAUCAUCAGCCGCAGUGGAUUCACGCCUCGAGGCUGAAACACCACUCUGCCAUGGAUCAGGACACUGGAGACAAACCCAAACAACGACUGCUAUUCACGGAGAUCAACGGAGAACAACGAGUGAGAGAUCUUGCUGGAAGCUCAACUGCCAGAAGGAUUCGAACCGUGUACAGUGACCGAAGUUUUCAUCAUCUUCAGCGAGCACAUUGUGAAAGCAGAGCAAAGAGAAUGGAAGACAACGAAACCAUCACACAACCAACCCUGCAAAAGCGAUUCGCAGAUCAUAUGCUGUGGUAUAUGUUUAUUUUGAAUGAUGAUGAUCUGAAAGUUUAAAGAAAAAUAAAUAGAUAAAUGGUUUCUUGGAAAAAAAAGGGUUAUGUAGGAAAUUGCUAUUUGUAACAAUUUGACAAUUGGGAAGAGUAUUUUAAAGUAUAUGAAACAAGUGCUUUCCAGAUGUGUACCAUAACCCUGUUAUAUGCCGUGAGAAAUUGAGGGUAACAUUAACUGUGCAUGCCAUAAAUAAUAUAUCUGGAGUAAAUGGAUUAGUGAUAACUCGACCAUAGAAGGUGAACCCAAAUGACCUGUGAUGCAAAUUGUGAUUUUCAAACACGAAGCGAAUACAUUUCUAUUCUGAUAUAGGUGUGUGGGAUCAGAUGUGAUCCACUAUCGUGUAUCAAAGGGGCCAUUGUAAGAAUCUAAAAGAUGUACCUUUCCCACACCCACUAGUUAACUUGUAAGCAAACCAAAUAUAUAUCUAUAUAUCCUGUUUAAUUCACAUUAUAUGUUCACAUGGUUUUGAUAAUCCUUUUCAUAGUGGCAUCUUCUCUAAUCAUAUAUUUUUGAUGACAAGCUCAUCCUGUCCUUAAGGUUAAAUAUAUACAAUGCAUAUUAUAGAAAUGCUAUGUGUCUGGUUUUUCCAUUGUAUAACACACUGUUUGUUUUCUGGCCUGUUCAGUUAAAGUUUUCCCCAGUGAUUAAUGAUCUUACAUUUGCUAUGUUUGGAAAAUAUCCUUUGGUUAAUUGUGGUCGGGGCAAGGAUGAUAUUUUGGGAAUAUGUGUCAGACCCUACUUCCCUGUUUUUAGUAUCACUUCCCCUUAUGUAGGUUGAACACAAAGCUGUCUUAAUUAAUCAUACGAUUAUUGGCUAGACGAAUUCGUCAAUGUUUUGAUCACAAGAUUGUGCCAGACAACCCAGGUGACUAAUGUUUCCUUUUUGCAUCCUAUAUAAUGUGAAGGAUGUCUAAUAAAAUUUUGUCUAUGAUUGAAACUGCA